rnacentral:rRNA from 1 species
AUGCUGCUGCUCCUCUUCGCCGUCGGCGCCGCGGUAGGCGUUGUAACUUGCCGCGGCCCCGCCGCGCCAGCCUCCUCCCGGGCCGCGCACCGGCUCCCGCGCGCCGUCGCGUCACACCUUCGCCUGCGCCGCGCCAGGCUCCUGGGCAGGCCGCCCUCCUCCACCGUGCUGCUCCUUGUUGGAUUAAUUAUGAAUCUAUGGGAUGCCAUUAGCAGGAUCAAAUUGCAUUUAGAUCACCCAAUAACCAUGAACAGAGAAAAGUUCAGAGAUCCUUUACAUGUCAUGGGAGUGGACAUGAUCGCCUGCUCAGUGCAGGCGUGA